rnacentral:rRNA from 1 species
UACGUAGGGGGCAAGCGUUGUCCGGAAUCAUUGGGCGUAAAGCGCGCGUAGGCGGCCCGGUAAGUCCGCUGUGAAAGUCAAAGGCUCAACCUUUGAAUGCCGGUGGAUACUGUCGGGCUAGAGUCCGGAAGAGGCGAGUGGAAUUCCUGGUGUAGCGGUGAAAUGCGUAGAUAUCAGGAGGAACACCGGUGGCGAAGGCGGGUCUCUGGGCCGAUACUGACGCUGAGGAGCGAAAGCGUGGGGAGCAAACAGG